rnacentral:rRNA from 2 species
AUAGGCAUUAUACGGCGAAACUGCGAAUGGCUCAUUAUAUAAGUUAUCGUUUAUUUGAUAGCACAUUACUACUUGGAUAACCGUGGUAAUUCUAGAGCUAAUACAUGCUAAAAAUCCCGACUUCGGAAGGGAUGUAUUUAUUAGAUUAAAAACCAAUGCCCUCUGGGCUCUCUGGUGAAUCAUGAUAACUGCUCGAAUCGCAGGGCCUCGUGCCGGCGAUGGUUCAUUCAAAUUUCUUCCCUAUCAACUUUCGAUGUUUGGGUAUUGGCCAAACAUGGUUACAACGGGUAACGGAGGGUUAGGGCUCGACCCCGGAGAAGGAGCCUGAGAGACGGCUACUACAUCCAAGGAAGGCAGCAGGCGCGCAAAUUACCCAAUCCCGACACGGGGAGGUAGUGACAAUAAAUACUGAUACAGGGCUCUUUCGGGUCUUGUAAUUGGAAUGAGUACAAUUUAAAUCCCUUAACGAGGAACAAUUGGAGGGCAAGUCUGGUG